rnacentral:tRNA from 7 species
GCGCGGGUGGCGGAAUUGGUAGACGCGCACGUUUGAGGGGCGUGUGCCUUUGGCAUGUGGGUUCAAGUCCCACCUCGCGCA